UACGGAGGGUGCGAGCGUUAAUCGGAAUUACUGGGCGUAAAGGGUGCGUAGGUGGUUUGAUAAGUUGUCUGUGAAAUUCCUGGGCUUAACCUGGGCAUGUCAGAUGAUACUGUUAGACUAGAGUAUAGGAGAGGGUAGUGGAAUUUCCGGUGUAGCGGUGAAAUGCGUAGAGAUCGGAAGGAACACCAGUGGCGAAGGCGGCUACCUGGCCUAAUACUGACACUGAGGCACGAAAGCGUGGGGAGCAAACAGG
rnacentral:rRNA from 1 species